UACGUAGGGGGCAAGCGUUGUCCGGAUUUAUUGGGCGUAAAGAGCGUGUAGGCGGCUUGGUAGGUCCGCUGUGAAAACUCGAGGCUCAACCUCGAGAUGUCGGCGGAAACCACUUGGCUAGAGUCCGGAAGAGGAGAGUGGAAUUCCCGGUGUAGCGGUGAAAUGCGCAGAUAUCGGGAAGAACACCUAUGGCGAAGGCAGCUCUCUGGGACGGUACUGACGCUGAGACGCGAAAGCGUGGGGAGCGAGCAGG
rnacentral:rRNA from 1 species